rnacentral:rRNA from 1 species
AAGCCAUGCAUGUCUAAGUAUAAGCGAAUUAUACGGCGAAACUGCGAAUGGCUCAUUACACAAGUUAUCGUUUAUUUGAUAGCACCUUACUACUUGGAUAACCGUGGUAAUUCUAGAGCUAAUACAUGCUGAAAAUCCCAACUCCGGAAGGGAUGUAUUUAUUAGAUUCAAAAACCAAUGCCCUCUGGGGCUCACUGGUGAUUCAUGAUAACUUCGCGGAUCGCAUGGCCUUGUGCCGGCGAUGGUUCAUUCAAAUUUCUUCCCUAUCAACUUUCGAUGUUUGGGUAGUGGCCAAACAUGGUUGCAACGGGUAACGGAGGGUUAGGGCUCGACCCCGGAGAAGGAGCCUGAGAAACGGCUACUACAUCCAAGGAAGGCAGCAGGCGCGCAAAUUACCCAAUCCCGACUCGGGGAGGUAGUGACAAUAAAUACUGAUACAGGGCCCUUUCGGGUCUUGUAAUUGGAAUGAGUACAAUCUAAAUCCC